AGAGUUUGAUCCUGGCUCAGGAUGAACGCUGGCGGCGUGCUUAACACAUGCAAGUCGAGCGAAGCGCUUAAGUUUGAUUCUACGGAUGAAGACUUUUGUGACUGAGCGGCGGACGGGUGAGUAACGCGUGGGUAACCUGCCUCAUACAGGGGGAUAACAGUUAGAAAUGGCUGCUAAUACCGCAUAAGACCACAGUACUGCAUGGUAUAGUGGUAAAAACUCCGGUGGUAUGAGAUGGACCCGCGUCUGAUUAGGUAGUUGGUGAGGUAACGGCCCACCAAGCUGACGAUCAGUAGCCGACCUGAGAGGGUGACCGGCCACAUUGGGACUGAGACACGGCCCAGACUCCUACGGGAGGCAGCAGUGGGGAAUAUUGCACAAUGGGCGAAAGCCUGAUGCAGCGACGCCGCGUGAAGGAUGAAGUAUUUCGGUAUGUAAACUUCUAUCAGCAGGGAAGAAAAUGACGGUACCUGACUAAGAAGCCCCGGCUAACUACGUGCCAGCAGCCGCGGUAAUACGUAGGGGGCAAGCGUUAUCCGGAUUUACUGGGUGUAAAGGGAGCGUAGACGGCUGUGCAAGUCUGAAGUGAAAGGCAUGGGCUCAACCUGUGGACUGCUUUGGAGACUGUGCAGCUAGAGUGUCGGAGAGGUAAGUGGAAUUCCUAGUGUAGCGGUGAAAUGCGUAGAUAUUAGGAGGAACACCAGUGGCGAAGGCGGCUUACUGGACGAUGACUGACGUUGAGGCUCGAAAGCGUGGGGAGCAAACAGGAUUAGAUACCCUGGUAGUCCACGCCGUAAACGAUGACUGCUAGGUGUCGGGUAGCAAAGCUAUUCGGUGCCGCAGCUAACGCAAUAAGCAGUCCACCUGGGGAGUACGUUCGCAAGAAUGAAACUCAAAGGAAUUGACGGGGGCCCGCACAAGCGGAGGAACAUGUGGUUUAAUUCGAUGAUACGCGAGGAACCUUACCCGGGCUUGAACUGCAGGCGAACGAUUCAGAGAUGAUGAGGCCCUUCGGGGCGCCUGUGGAGGUGCUGCAUGGUUGUCGUCAGCUCGUGCCGUGAGGUGUCGGCUUAAGUGCCAUAACGAGCGCAACCCUUGUUCGUAGUUGCCAUCGGGUUAUGCCGGGCACUCUGCGAAGACUGCCUCCGUAAGGAGUGAGGAAGGUGGGGAUGACGUCAAAUCAGCACGGCCCUUACGUCCGGGGCUACACACGUGUUACAAUGGCAUGUACAGAAAGCUGGGUGUAUGCAAAUACGCUCGAAUCCCUAAAACAUGUCUCAGUUCGGACUGGGGUCUGCAACCCGACCCCACGAAGCUGGAUUCGCUAGUAAUCGCGCAUCAGCCAUGGCGCGGUGAAUACGUUCCCGGGCCUUGUACACACCGCCCGUCAAGCCAUGAAAGCCGGGGGCGCCUAAAGUCCGUGACCGCGAGGGUCGGCCUAGGGUGAAACCGGUGAUUGGGGCUAAGUCGUAACAAGGUA
rnacentral:rRNA from 1 species